rnacentral:ncRNA from 1 species
CAAGCGGUCGGAGCUGCCUUUUGGCAGUGACGGCGUGCCUUUUGCAUAAUGAACCUACGAGUUGCCGUCUCCGGCAAGGCUGAGGGGCUGAAGCCCCUGCGCCGCAGUGAAAGCGAGCCUGAAGAGGGCGUUUUUAGUCGGAGGUGGCAGACGCGAAACCAAGUGAUCUACACUUGGCCAGGGUGAAGUCCCGGUAACACGGGAUGGAGGCCCGCACCGAUAAGCGUUGAAAAGCUUCCGGAUGAGCCGAGUGUAGGAGUGAAAGGCCAAUCAAACUUGGAGAUAGCUCGUACUCCCCGAAAGGCAUUUAGGUGCCGCGUGCGCCGUUCCGCAUGAGAGGUAGAGCGACCGGUAGGUCGAGAGGGCUUCGCCGCCUGUCGAGACCUGACGAACUCCGAAUGCUCAUGCGCCGCAGGCGCGCAGUAAGGGGGCGGGUGCUAAGGUCCGUCCCCGAGAGGAGAAGAAUCCUGACCGCCGUCUAAGGUCCCCGAGUUCUGCCUGAGUUAGUCUAACGAAGUGCGGUCCCUGUGACAGCCAGGAUGUUGGCUUGGAAGCAGCCAUUCAUUCAAAGAGUGCGUAACAGCUCACUGGUCGAGGGUCCGUGCGUGGAUAAUAAUCGGGUAUAAGGCAGACACCGAAGACGCGGGGUAGCAUUGAAGAAAGUACCGGUAGGGGAGCAUGGCGUGCGGCGUUGAACGGAGGGGGCGACCCCUCCCGGAGCGCACGGCAAGGCAAAUGUAGGUAUAAGUAACGACAAGGAGGGUAAGAUCCCCUCCCGCCGUAAGACCAAGGUUUCCCGGGCAAUGCCAGUCAGCCCGGGGUCAGUCGGGCCCUAAGCCCCAGCCGUACGGCGAGGGGCGAUGGAAGACACGGUCAACAUUCCGUGACUGCCACAGGGAGCGACGCGCUGACGGAGCAGUGACACCACCGCGGGGCGACGGAAGCCCCCGUUGACGGGCGUAGGCGUCGAGGGCCGCAGGCAAGUCCGCGGCCCGAGCCGAACCCCCAUAGUAUGGCUCCCCCUCCGGGGGGCGCCAAUAGCGUGGGUAAUCAUACUCCCGAGAAAAUGCGCUAAGCCUCAUCCCUGCGGCACCCGUACCCCAAACGGACACACGUGGUCGGGUAGAACAUACUCAGGCGUUGGAAGACUCACGGUUAAGGAACUAGGCAAACUGACCCUGUAACUUCGGGAUAAAGGGUCCUCGCGGCUCCGCGAGGCGCAGAGAAUAGGUCCAGGCAACUGUUUAACAAAAACACAGGGCUGUGCUAACUCGAAAGAUGAUGUAUACAGCCUGACACCUGCCCGGUGCCGGAAGGUUAAGAGGAGGGGUCAUCCUCACGGUGAAGCCCUGAAUUGAAGCCCCGGUAAACGGCGGCCGUAACUAUAACGGUCCUAAGGUAGCGAAAUUCCUUGUCGGGUAAGUUCCGACCUGCACGAAUGGUGUAAUGAUCCGGACGCUGUCUCAACCGUGAUUCCAGUGAAAUUG